UGGGGAAUAUUGCACAAUGGGCGCAAGCCUGAUGCAGCCAUGCCGCGUGUGUGAAGAAGGCCUUCGGGUUGUAAAGCACUUUCAGCGAGGAGGAAGGUGGUGAACUUAAUACGUUCAUCAAUUGACGUUACUCGCAGAAGAAGCACCGGCUAACUCCGUGCCAGCAGCCGCGGUAAUACGGAGGGUGCAAGCGUUAAUCGGAAUUACUGGGCGUAAAGCGCACGCAGGCGGUUUGUUAAGUCAGAUGUGAAAAUCCCCGGGCUCAACCUGGGAACUGCAUUUGAAACUGGCAAGCUAGAGUCUCGUAGAGGGGGUAGAAUUCCAGGUGUAGCGGUGAAAUGCGUAGAGAUCUGGAGGAAUACCGGUGGCGAAGGCGGCCCCCUGGANGAAGACUGACGCUCAGGUGCGAAAGCGUGGGGAGCAAACAGAUUAGNUACCCUGGUAG
rnacentral:rRNA from 1 species